UCAUUGGCAUAAAAGAAGACAUCCCCACCAACUUUCUUCCAGUCAAAGACACCUGAUGCAAUGUUCUCCUUGGUGCUGAGGGAGCAGGGUAACACCACAUCUCUGUCUUGUUCCACUUUAAUCAACGGUG